GGUGGAGAGCUGAGAGAUUCGAGUGUGCCUUCGGGAACUCUGAGACAGGUGCUGCAUGGCUGUCGUCAGCUCGUGUUGUGAAAUGUUGGGUUAAGUCCCGCAACGAGCGCAACCCUUAUCCUUGUUUGCCAGCACUUCGGGUGGGAACUCCAGGGAGACUGCCGGUGAUAAACCGGAGGAAGGUGGGGACGACGUCAAGUCAUCAUGGCCCUUACGAGUAGGGCUACACACGUGCUACAAUGGCAUAUACAGAGGGCAGCAAGACCGCGAGGUGGAGCGAAUCCCAGAAAGUAUGUCGUAGUCCGGAUCGGAGUCUGCAACUCGACUCCGUGAAGUCGGAAUCGCUAGUAAUCGUGGAUCAGAAUGCCACGGUGAAUACGUUCCCGGGUCUUGUAACACACCGA
rnacentral:rRNA from 1 species